rnacentral:rRNA from 1 species
AAGCCCGGCUACUACGUGCCAGCAGCCGCGGUAAUACGUAGGGGGCGAGCGUUGUCCGGAUUACUGGGCGUAAAGAGUACGUAGGCGGUUCUGUAAGCGCAUGGUGAAAGGCAUCGGCUAACCAGUGUCAGCCGUGCGAACUGCAGGACUUGAGUGCGGGAGAGGAAAGCGGAAUUCCUGUGUAGCGGUGAAAUGCGUAGAUAUCAGGAGGAACACCGGUGGCGAAGGCGGCUUUCUGGCCGUAACUGACGCUGAGGUACGAAAGCGUGGGGAGCAAACAGGAUUAGAUACCCUGGUAGCCACGCCGUAAACGAUGAGUAUUAGGUGUCGGGUCCGCAGGGAUUCGGUGCCGCAGUUAAGCAAUAAAUACUCCGCCUGGGGAGUACGCACGCAAGUGUAAAACUCAAAGGAAUUGACGGGACCCGCACAAGCAGCGGAGCAUGUGGUUUAAUUCGAAGCAACGCGAAGAACCUUACCAGGCUUGACAUCCUCCCGAAAGACCGGGUAAUGCCGGUCCCUCUGCGGACGGGAGAGACAGGGGUGCAUGGUUGUCGUCAGCUCGUGUCGUGAGAUGUUGGGUUAAGUCCCGCAACGAGCGCACCCUUGUCAUCAGUUACUAACAUUAAGUUGAGGACUCUGAUGAGACUGCCGGGGAGAACCGGAGGAAGGUGGGGAUGACGUCAAAUCAUCAUGCCCCUUAUGUUCUGGGCUACACACGUCUACAAUGGCCGGUACAGAGAGCAGCGAGACCGCGAGGUGGAGCAAAACUGAAAAAACCGUCCCAGUUCGGACUGCAGGCUGAAACCCGCCUGCACGAAGUUGGAGUUGCUAGUAAUCGCGAUCAGAAUGCCGCGGUGAAUGCGUUCCCGGGUCUUGCACACACCGCCCGU